AUAAAUCCUAAGAAGAGGGAUAGUAAUCAGGUGCUAAGUUUAAGAGAGCUGAAGAUGGUGUGAUUUCAGUACUAAUGCUAAUGAUGAAUGGGCCUUUGAGGAGCAAUAUGAAAUCUUUUAGAGAGUAGUUGAGCCGUAAGUCGCACGUUAUAGCGAAUGAGAUAUGUUAGUAUCAAAAAGAGAGGCAUUUUUAUUUAUGCAAUUUAGGUGGCAACGCGGAUAAUAUCCGUCCUAUAU
rfam:Clostridium botulinum B str. Eklund 17B, complete genome.